rnacentral:lncRNA from 1 species
GAGCCCCGUUGCACCUCAGAUCCUUCGGGAAGGACCAUUCAGGUUGUCAUUCUUUAGUUGGCUCACAGCAGGACAAAUUCCUCUAAACUUCUUGCAUCAGCAUUUCAACAGACGCCCUUCACAGAUUAAAACGUAUUCUCCAUGUUAAGUAACUUACUGAAAUCAAAUUGGGCCCUCUGACAUGGACAUGAUUAGAAACUAAAGGGUGCAAAAGCUGGAUAGCUAGUACAUGGGGACCUUAAUGAAUCCUGGCCCCUCCAAAAAAUGAGUGCUUAAAACUCACCUGUUAACAAAUGUUGGCUGACCUUUGCUUAGCUAUGUAUUUUGAUACCACUCAUCUGUUCAUGUCCAUGUAGUUUUGGAUCUUUGCUUAGCUAUGUAUUUUGAUACCACUCACUUGUUCAUCUUCAUCAAAAAAUGUUGGCUGACCUUUAUGGUUCUUACCGAAUUUUGUUGCUGGUUCAUGUCUGAUAGGCCUGGAUUAUGGAAAUGGCUUCUUAUGUUAAGUCAAUAGACAGAAAUCAUUUGUUGGAAGCUGGUCUGGAAGGAUUUUAUGGACAAUCCACACCUCAGAGGACUCACCUCAAUCCUGGAUUGAAUAUAGGAACUGAUUUCGUUGCAAACAACCGUGUACCUGGCAUUGAUUUUGCUACCGUACAUUCCUAUCCAGAUAUCUGGUAAAUCUCAUUACAAUCCUCGGAUAAAUAAUCAUGGAUAUUAAUUUGGUUUUCAAGCUAAAUUGCAGCAAAGUCUGAUGAAUAUCUUGACUGGAGUGUUCUUGCCAUGUUGUUGUAUGAUUA